UACGGAGGGAGCUAGCGUUAUUCGGAAUUACUGGGCGUAAAGCGCACGUAGGCGGCUUUGUAAGUAAGAGGUGAAAGCCCAGAGCUCAACUCUGGAAUUGCCUUUUAGACUGCAUCGCUUGAAUCAUGGAGAGGUCAGUGGAAUUCCGAGUGUAGAGGUGAAAUUCGUAGAUAUUCGGAAGAACACCAGUGGCGAAGGCGGCUGACUGGACAUGUAUUGACGCUGAGGUGCGAAGCGUGGGGAGCAAACAGG
rnacentral:rRNA from 1 species